GCUGGGCAUGGUGGUGUAUACCUGUAAUCCCAGCAACUCGGAAGGCCAAGGCAGGAGGAUUGCAGGUUUGAAGCCAGCCUCAAAAAAAGCUAGGUGCUAAGCAACUCAGUGAGACCCUGUCUCUA
rnacentral:sRNA from 1 species